rnacentral:tRNA from 1 species
GAGAUGUUAGUUAACCAAUAACACUGCCUUGUCAAGGCAUUAUCACAGACUAAACCCUGUACAUCUUU